ACAUUCUGUUUGGCGUGUUGUUUCAUCACGGCAUGUUACUCAUGUGAUCUCGAUUGCUCCACGGUGAAAUGUGCUGUCCCCAGUUGCAUCGACAAAUACACGCCGCCGCACCAGUGUUGUCCCAUUUGCAGGCCAAAACCAUGUUAUUACAAGGGACAAGUGUAUAUAGACGGACAGCAGUUUAAGGACGAUUGCAAUACGUGCACGUGUUCCAACGGAUUUGUGGGAUGUACAAAGAUUGGUUGCCAAGCUUAUCCUACAACUUGCACGGUAGACGGAGUCGUCUAUCCAGAAGGUGCUUCGCUGCUUUCGGGAUUAUGUGAAUCAUGUCGUUGUCAAGCCGGUGAAGCGAGGUGUAAACAAACUUCAUGCAGGGAUCAUGAAGAGAUGAUACAAUAGCUGUAACACUUUUGCCUCCUAAUCGCCAUUGAAUUCCCCCUGUCUGCCAAACGUAUCUUUUCUUGAAAUGCCAAUAUCUCCCACUGAGCUGAAAUUGACGAAACAACUCUCAAGUAGACAUGCCAAUGUUUUCUACAGAGGUGUCACUGGCAUAACAACUUUUCCUUUGACAUGCCGAUUUCUCUUCUAAGCUGCCAUUGAAUAAACAACUCUCCAACCAACAUGGCGAUAUUUCCUACUAAGCUCCCAUUUGCGAAACUACCCUCCACUUGAUAAGCCGCUUUUAUUCACUACAAGUCAUUGGCGUAAUGCCACUCUAGUUGUAUAACAACUCUCGUCUGGACGUAACGCUUUCAUUAACUGAACUGCCUUAAGCUACUUGCUUGCAAACAUAACAACCAAUAUGACCUUAGUAAUGAAUAUAAAUAUUGUCAAUUGAACGGCUUGAAGAAUAAAGCAAAAUAGUAUUAUUUAUAGUUGUGUUUAGCUUUCAA